rnacentral:rRNA from 1 species
CCUACGGGAGGCAGCAGUAAAGAAUCUUCCGCAAUGGGCGAAAGCCUGACGGAGCAACACUGCGUGGUGGAUGAAGGCCUUCGGGUCGUAAACACCUUUUCUGGGGGAAGAAGUUCUGACGGUACCCCAGGAAUAAGCGACGGCUAAUUACGUGCCAGCAGCCGCGGUAAUACGUAAGUCGCAAGCGUUAUCCGGAAUUAUUGGGCGUAAAGCGUCCGUAGGCGGUUUUAUAAGUCUGUGGUUAAAUCCCAGGGCUCAACCCUGGAAUCGUCAUGGAAACUAUAAAACUUGAGGUGUGCAGGGGCAGAUGGAAUUCCAGAAGUAGGGGUAAAAUCCGUAGAUCUCUGGAGGAACACCAAACGCGAAGGCAUUCUGCUGGGCACCACCUGACGCUGAGGGACGAAAGCGUGGGUAGCGAACGGGAUUAGAUACCCCGGUAGUCCACGCCGUAAACGAUGGAUACUUGGUAUUGGAGGCUUCGACCCCUUCGGUGCCUAAGCUAACGCAUUAAGUAUCCCGCCUGGGUAGUACGGUCGCAAGAUUAAAACUCAAAGGAAUUGACGG